ACUCCUACGGGAGGCAGCAGUGGGGAAUAUUGCACAAUGGGGGGAAACCCUGAUGCAGCCAUGCCGCGUGUGUGAAGAAGGCCUUCGGGUUGUAAAGCACUUUCAGUAGGGAGGAAGGUAGUGUAGUUAACACCUGCACUAUUUGACGUUAGCGACAGAAGAAGCACCGGCUAACUCCGUGCCAGCAGCCGCGGUAAUACGGAGGGUGCGAGCGUUAAUCGGAAUUACUGGGCGUAAAGCGCAUGCAGGUGGUUUGUUAAGUCAGAUGUGAAAGCCCGGGGCUCAACCUCGGAAUUGCAUUUGAAACUGGCAGGCUAGAGUCUUGUAGAGGGGGUAGAAUUUCAGGUGUAGCGGUGAAAUGCGUAGAGAUCUGAAGGAAUACCAGUGGCGAAGGCGGCCCCCUGGACAAAGACUGACGCUCAGAUGCGAAAGCGUGGGGAGCAAACAGGAUUAGAUACCCUGGUAGA
rnacentral:rRNA from 1 species